rnacentral:rRNA from 1 species
GAUGAACGCUGGCGGCGUGCCUAAUACAUGCGAGUCGAACGAAACUUCUUUAUCACCGAGUGCUUGCACUCACCGAUAAAGAGUUGAGUGGCGAACGGGUGAGUAACACGUGGGCAACCUGCCCAAAAGAGGGGGAUAACACUUGGAAACAGGUGCUAAUACCGCAUAACCAUAGUUACCGCAUGGUAACUAUGUAAAAGGUGGCUAUACUACCGCUUUUGGAUGGGCCCGCGGCGCAUUAGCUAGUUGGUAGGGUAAAGGCUUACCAAGGCAAUGAUGCGUAGCCGAAUUGAGAGGUUGAUCGGCCACAUUGGGACUGAGACACGGCCCAAACUCCUACGGGAGGCAGCAGUAGGGAAUCUUCCACAAUGGGCGAAAGCCUGAUGGAGCAACGCCGCGUGGGUGAAGAAGGUCUUCGGAUCGUAAAACCCUGUUGUUAGAGAAGAAAGUGCGUGAGAGUAACUGUUCACGUUUCGACGGUAUCUAACCAGAAAGCCACUGCUAACUACGUG